GAUGCAGACAUAGGCAGAGCAAUUUGCUGUUAGAGGGACACAAGAACUUAUGGAGUGUUUCCCUUCUAGGGGCCAUGCUACAAAGAUGCUCUGGGGUCCUUGAAACUACCCAGGUGCUGCUUCCUGUGCUCUGGAAAAAUCCCUCAUCACAAAACAGGCCAACUGAGCCACACCUGGGUUUAAGCAGAACAUCUGGACCCACUCUUUGCUACUCACUCAUGUUCUUCAAAUCUUCCCAAAACAAAUGGUGCUUUAGCUCAAGUCUGACACCAGAGAUUUGUAAACCCUAUGUGCACUGCCAAAUCCAGUUUGAUACGAAACACAGCUACUUUUCUUGAACCAAGUAUGUUACAGAUAUGAUACCCCUAUCAUAUAUUUCAAUUAGCCAAGCCUCAAGUAAUUUAUGGGGGUCGUUUCUACCACUAGUAAUAAAUUUCAUAAUGGUAUUAACAAUUAGAGAAUUUUUAAGGAAAGUUCAAGUCCAACAGCUAUUAAAUGCCCAAGCAUUCAUUGGUUAUAUGCUCUUUGUUUUCUAGUCAUACAAUCAUUGAAAAAUCCUGAAAAUAGGGGUUUAACUAUAAUUAAUUAAAUGCCAGUUUCAGUGGGUCCUGGUUUCCUUAAGAAAAAUCACCUAUCAAACUUCUAAAUGUCUAAUUUUUACUUAGUGGAGCCACUUAAUUCUUUGUACAAAUCUGGAGGUUUUAUAAUUAAAAAUAUGUAUUA